rnacentral:rRNA from 1 species
AUUGAACGCUGGCGGCAGGCCUAACACAUGCAAGUCGAGCGGAUGAAGGGAGCUUUCUCCUGGCUUCAGCGGCGGACGGGUGAGUAAUUCCUAGGAAUCUGCCUGGUCUUUGGGAUAACGUCCGGAACCGGGCGCUAAUACCGCAUACGUCCUGUGUGAUGAACUGGGGGAUCUUCUGACCUCACGCUAUCUUAUGAUCCUAGGUCGGAUUAGCUAGUUGGUGUGGUAAAGGCCUACCAAGGCGACGAUCCGUAACUGGUCUGAGAGGAUGAUCAGUCACACUGGAACUGAGACACGGUCCAGACUCCUACGGGAGGCAGCAGUGGGGAAUAUUGGACAAUGGGCGAAAGCCUGAUCCAGCCAUGCCGCGUGUGUGAAGAAGGUCUUCGGAUUGUAAAGCACUUUAAGUUGGGAGGAAGGGAAGUAAGUUAAUACAUUGAUGUUUUGACGUUACCAAAAGAAUAAGCACCGGCUAACUUCGUG